rnacentral:rRNA from 1 species
UACGUAGGUGGCAAGCGUUGUCCGGAAUUACUGGGUGUAAAGGGCGUGUAGACGGGAAUGUAAGUCAGAUGUGAAAUACUUGGGCUCAACUCAAGUGCUGCAUCUGACACUAUGUUUCUUGAGUGCUGGAGAGGAUAGUGGAAUUCCUAGUGUAGCGGUGAAAUGCGUAGAUAUUAGGAGGAACACCAGUGGCGAAGGCGACUAUCUGGACAGUAACUGACGUUGAGGCGCGAAAGCGUGGGGAGCAAACAGGAUUAGAUACCCUGGUAGUCCACGCUGUAAACGAUGGAUACUAGGUGUAGGAGGUAUCGACCCCUUCUGUGCCGGAGUUAACACAAUAAGUAUCCCACCUGGGGAGUACGGCCGCAAGGUUGAA